rnacentral:rRNA from 1 species
CGGUAAUUCCAGCUCCAAUAGCGUAUACUAAAGUUGUUGCAGUUAAAAAGCUCGUAGUUGGAUUUCUGCGGGGACGGAGCGGCCGGACGCAACUUGCGUCUCGAGCUAGCGCUUUCCCCGCAUCCUGCCGCGAACCGUGCUACCAUUAGUUUGGUGGCGCCGGGGAUCGGCUCGAUUACUUUGAGAAAAAUAGAGUGUUCAAAGCAGGCCACACGCCUUGAAUAAGUUAGCAUGGAAUAAUGACUAAGGACUUUGGUUCUUUUCGUUGGUGUUCGGGACUGAAGUAAUGAUUGAUAGGGACAGUUGGGGCGGUCCGUAUUCCAAAGCGAGAGGUGAAAUUCUUAGACCUUCGGAAGACGAACAGCUGCGAAAGCGUUCCGCAAGGAUGUUCCCUUUGAUCAAGAACGAAAGUUGGGGGAUCGAAGACGAUCAGAUACCGUCGUAGUCUCAACUAUAAACUAUACCAGCUAGGGAUCGGCCAACGUUUAACUUUAUCGACUUGGUCGGCACCUUAUGAGAAAUCAAAGCAUCUGGGUUCCGGGGGGAGUAUGGUCACAAGGCUGAAACUUAAAGGAAUUGACGGAAGGGCACCACCAGCCGUGGAGCCUGUGGCUUAAUUUGACUCAACACGGGAAAACUUACCAGGUCCAGACAUAGGAAGGAUUGACAGAUUGAUAGCUCUUUCUUGAUUCUGUGGGUGGUGGUGCAUGGCCGUUUUUAGUCGGUGGAUGUGAUCUGUCUGCUUAAUUGCGUUAACGGACGAGACCCCAGCCUGCUAAAUAGCGCGGCCGAGCUUUGCUCGGUGCGAGCUUCUUAGAGGGACCAUGAUGCGCGAUAGCACAAGGAAGUUUGGGGCAACAACAGGUCUGUGAUGCCCUUAGAUGUUCUGGGCCGCACACGGGCUACACUGGCGCCUGCAACGAGCAUAUCAGCUGGCCCGAGAGGGUCUUGGCUAAUCUUUGGAACCGGCGCCGUGCUUGGGAUUGACCAUUGCAAUUGUUGGUCAUGCAACGAGGAAUGCCUUGUAAACGCGAGUCAUCAGCUCGCAUUGAAUACGUCCCUGCCCUUUGUACACACCGCCCGUCGCUCCUACCGAUGAAUGUUCCGAUGAAAUUUUCGGAGAGCACCAGAGAACGGGGCUCUGCCUUGCAGAACUGGAGGCUCAAAGUCACUUAAAUCUGAACAUUUCGAGGAAGGAGAAGUCGUAACAAGGUAGCCG